rnacentral:rRNA from 1 species
GGUUAAGCGACUAAGCGUACACGGUGGAUGCCCUGGCAGUCAGAGGCGAUGAAGGACGUGCUAAUCUGCGAUAAGCGUCGGUAAGGUGAUAUGAACCGUUAUAACCGGCGAUUUCCGAAUGGGGAAACCCAGUGUGUUUCGACACACUAUCAUUAACUGAAUCCAUAGGUUAAUGAGGCGAACCGGGGGAACUGAAACAUCUAAGUACCCCGAGGAAAAGAAAUCAACCGAGAUUCCCCCAGUAGCGGCGAGCGAACGGGGAGGAGCCCAGAGCCUGAAUCAGUGUGUGUGUUAGUGGAAGCGUCUGGAAAGGCGCGCGAUACAGGGUGACAGCCCCGUACACAAAAAUGCACAUAUUGUGAGCUCGAUGAGUAGGGCGGGACACGUGGUAUCCUGUCUGAAUAUGGGGGGACCAUCCUCCAAGGCUAAAUACUCCUGACUGACCGAUAGUGAACCAGUACCGUGAGGGAAAGGCGAAAAGAACCCCGGCGAGGGGAGUGAAAAAGAACCUGAAACCGUGUACGUACAAGCAGUGGGAGCACGCUUCGGCGUGUGACUGCGUACCUUUUGUAUAAUGGGUCAGCGACUUAUAUUCUGUAGCAAGGUUAACCGAAUAGGGGAGCCGAAGGGAAACCGAGUCUUAACUGGGCGUUAAGUUGCAGGGUAUAGACCCGAAACCCGGUGAUCUAGCCAUGGGCAGGUUGAAGGUUGGGUAACACUAACUGGAGGACCGAACCGACUAAUGUUGAAAAAUUAGCGGAUGACUUGUGGCUGGGGGUGAAAGGCCAAUCAAACCGGGAGAUAGCUGGUUCUCCCCGAAAGCUAUUUAGGUAGCGCCUCGUGAAUUCAUCUCCGGGGGUAGAGCACUGUUUCGGCAAGGGGGUCAUCCCGACUUACCAACCCGAUGCAAACUGCGAAUACCGGAGAAUGUUAUCACGGGAGACACACGGCGGGUGCUAACGUCCGUCGUGAAGAGGGAAACAACCCAGACCGCCAGCUAAGGUCCCAAAGUCAUGGUUAAGUGGGAAACGAUGUGGGAAGGCCCAGACAGCCAGGAUGUUGGCUUAGAAGCAGCCAUCAUUUAAAGAAAGCGUAAUAGCUCACUGGUCGAGUCGGCCUGCGCGGAAGAUGUAACGGGGCUAAACCAUGCACCGAAGCUGCGGCAGCGACACUGUGUGUUGUUGGGUAGGGGAGCGUUCUGUAAGCCUGUGAAGGUGUACUGUGAGGUAUGCUGGAGGUAUCAGAAGUGCGAAUGCUGACAUAAGUAACGAUAAAGCGGGUGAAAAGCCCGCUCGCCGGAAGACCAAGGGUUCCUGUCCAACGUUAAUCGGGGCAGGGUGAGUCGACCCCUAAGGCGAGGCCGAAAGGCGUAGUCGAUGGGAAACAGGUUAAUAUUCCUGUACUUGGUGUUACUGCGAAGGGGGGACGGAGAAGGCUAUGUUGGCCGGGCGACGGUUGUCCCGGUUUAAGCGUGUAGGCUGGUUUUCCAGGCAAAUCCGGAAAAUCAAGGCUGAGGCGUGAUGACGAGGCACUACGGUGCUGAAGCAACAAAUGCCCUGCUUCCAGGAAAAGCCUCUAAGCAUCAGGUAACAUUAAAUCGUACCCCAAACCGACACAGGUGGUCAGGUAGAGAAUACCAAGGCGCUUGAGAGAACUCGGGUGAAGGAACUAGGCAAAAUGGUGCCGUAACUUCGGGAGAAGGCACGCUGAUAUGUAGGUGAAGUCCCUCGCGGAUGGAGCUGAAAUCAGUCGAAGAUACCAGCUGGCUGCAACUGUUUAUUAAAAACACAGCACUGUGCAAACACGAAAGUGGACGUAUACGGUGUGACGCCUGCCCGGUGCCGGAAGGUUAAUUGAUGGGGUCAGCGCAAGCGAAGCUCUUGAUCGAAGCCCCGGUAAACGGCGGCCGUAACUAUAACGGUCCUAAGGUAGCGAAAUUCCUUGUCGGGUAAGUUCCGACCUGCACGAAUGGCGUAAUGAUGGCCAGGCUGUCUCCACCCGAGACUCAGUGAAAUUGAACUCGCUGUGAAGAUGCAGUGUACCCGCGGCAAGACGGAAAGACCCCGUGAACCUUUACUAUAGCUUGACACUGAACAUUGAGCCUUGAUGUGUAGGAUAGGUGGGAGGCUUUGAAGUGUGGACGCCAGUCUGCAUGGAGCCGACCUUGAAAUACCACCCUUUAAUGUUUGAUGUUCUAACGUUGACCCGUGAUCCGGGUUGCGGACAGUGUCUGGUGGGUAGUUUGACUGGGGCGGUCUCCUCCUAAAGAGUAACGGAGGAGCACGAAGGUUGGCUAAUCCUGGUCGGACAUCAGGAGGUUAGUGCAAUGGCAUAAGCCAGCUUGACUGCGAGCGUGACGGCGCGAGCAGGUGCGAAAGCAGGUCAUAGUGAUCCGGUGGUUCUGAAUGGAAGGGCCAUCGCUCAACGGAUAAAAGGUACUCCGGGGAUAACAGGCUGAUACCGCCCAAGAGUUCAUAUCGACGGCGGUGUUUGGCACCUCGAUGUCGGCUCAUCACAUCCUGGGGCUGAAGUAGGUCCCAAGGGUAUGGCUGUUCGCCAUUUAAAGUGGUACGCGAGCUGGGUUUAGAACGUCGUGAGACAGUUCGGUCCCUAUCUGCCGUGGGCGCUGGAGAACUGAGGGGGGCUGCUCCUAGUACGAGAGGACCGGAGUGGACGCAUCACUGGUGUUCGGGUUGUCAUGCCAAUGGCACUGCCCGGUAGCUAAAUGCGGAAGAGAUAAGUGCUGAAAGCAUCUAAGCACGAAACUUGCCCCGAGAUGAGUUCUCCCUGACCCUUUAAGGGUCCUGAAGGAACGUUGAAGACGACGACGUUGAUAGGCCGGGUGUGUAAGCGCAGCGAUGCGUUGAGCUAACCGGUACUAAUGAACCGUGAGGCUUAACCUU